rnacentral:rRNA from 1 species
GCAGUCGCCGCGGUAAUACAGAGGGUGCGAGCGUUAAUCGGAUUUACUGGGCGUAAAGCGUGCGUGGGCGGCUUCUUAAGUCGGAUGUGAAAUCCCUGAGCUUAACUUAGGAAUUGCAUUCGAUACUGGGAAGCUAGAGUAUGGGAGAGGAUGGUAGAAUUCCAGGUGUAGCGGUGAAAUGCGUAGAGAUCUGGAGGAAUACCGAUGGCGAAGGCAGCCAUCUGGCCUAAUACUGACGCUGAGGUACGAAAGCAUGGGGAGCAAACAGGAUUAGAUACCCCAGUAGUCCCUGUCUCUUAUAC